rnacentral:rRNA from 1 species
CCUACGGGAGGCAGCAGUUUCGAAUCAUUCACAAUGGGCGAAAGCCUGAUGGUGCGACGCCGCGUGAGGGAUGAAGGUCUUCGGAUUGUAAACCUCUGUCACUGGGGAAGAAACGCUUUGAGUUAAUAGUUCAAAGCCUGACUUAACCCGGAGAGGAAGCAGUGGCUAACUCUGUGCCAGCAGCCGCGGUAAUACAGAGACUGCAAGCGUUAUUCGGAAUCACUGGGCGUAAAGGGUGCGCAUGCGGUCGGAAAUCCCGGAGCUUAACUCCGGAACUGCGCCUCAAACUACACGGCUAGAGCAUUGGAGAGGGAAGUGGAAUUCACGGUGUAGCAGUGAAAUGCGUAGAUAUCGUGAGGAACACCAGUGGCGAAGGCGACUUCCUGGACAAUUGCUGACGCUCAGGCACGAAAGCGUGGGGAGCAAAAGGGAUUAGAUACCCUAGUAGUC